rnacentral:rRNA from 1 species
CCUGAGAAACCCAAAAGAUCGAAAGGGGAGAUUCAUCGUCAGCGUUACUGGUACGUGGGCGGUUCGCGAUGUCCGAGACUUCGGUCUCGCGAUACGCGUCCGCUCGACCUUAUUGACUGGUAUCGUCGGCGUGCACUUCUCCUCUAGUAGGACGUCGCGACCCGUUGAGUGUCGGUCUACGGCCCGGGUGGGUGCCUGUUUCGUGUGCGCUUUAUCGUGUCACUGCGAGACAGACCCCCGGAUGCUUGACCGUCUGCUCGGCGGUACUCGCAAGGUAUUUGGCCGCAAAUAUUCGAACUGCGUCCGGCCCGUCGCAAGCGAGGCGAGUGUUUCCCGAAUGUACGGAUCUAAUGCCGUCAUCGGGCCUAGCCAGCUGUUGGUUGACGGUGUCCUAGGACUGGCUAUAAAAAUUAUGAUACCGGUCAGCGACGCUACUGCUUUGGGUACUUUCAGGA